rnacentral:rRNA from 1 species
GUGGGGAAUAUUGGACAAUGGGGGGAACCCUGAUCCAGCCAUGCCGCGUGUGUGAAGAAGGCCUUUUGGUUGUAAAGCACUUUAAGCGAGGAGGAGGCUACCGAGAUUAAUACUCUUGGAUAGUGGACGUUACUCGCAGAAUAAGCACCGGCUAACUCUGUGCCAGCAGCCGCGGUAAUACAGAGGGUGCAAGCGUUAAUCGGAUUUACUGGGCGUAAAGCGCGCGUAGGUGGCCAAUUAAGUCAAAUGUGAAAUCCCCGAGCUUAACUUGGGAAUUGCAUUCGAUACUGGUUGGCUAGAGUAUGGGAGAGGAUGGUAGAAUUCCAGGUGUAGCGGUGAAAUGCGUAGAGAUCUGGAGGAAUACCGAUGGCGAAGGCAGCCAUCUGGCCUAAUACUGACACUGUGGUGCGAAAGCAUGGGGAGCAAACAGGAUUAGAAACCCGGGUAGUCC